rnacentral:rRNA from 1 species
CAAGUCGAACGACGCCAGGGGCAACCCUGGCGAGUGGCGAACGGGUGAGUAAUACAUCGGAACGUGUCCCGUCGUGGGGGAUAACCAGUCGAAAGACUGGCUAAUACCGCAUGACCUCGUAAGAGAAAAGCGGGGGACCGCAAGGCCUCGCGCGACUGGAGCGGCCGAUGUCGGAUUAGCUAGUUGGCGGGGUAACGGCCCACCAAGGCGACGAUCCGUAGCUGGUUUGAGAGAACGACCAGCCACACUGGGACUGAGACACGGCCCAGACUCCUACGGGAGGCAGCAGUGGGGAAUUUUGGACAAUGGGGGCAACCCUGAUCCAGCCAUGCCGCGUGUGUGAAGAAGGCCUUCGGGUUGUAAAGCACUUUCGGCCGGAACGAAAUCGCCCGUGUUAACAGCGCGGGUGGAUGACGGUACCGGAAGAAGAAGCACCGGCUAACUACGUGCCAGCAGCCGCGGUAAUACGUAGGGUGCGAGCGUUAAUCGGAAUUACUGGGCGUAAAGGGUGCGCAGGCGGUCCCGCAUGUCGGGCGUGAAAUCCCCGGGCUUAACCUGGGAAUGGCGUCCGAAACUAUGGGACUGGAGUGUGGCAGAGGGAGGUGGAAUUCCACGUGUAGCGGUGAAAUGCGUAGAGAUGUGGAGGAACACCGAUGGCGAAGGCAGCCUCCUGGGCCAACACUGACGCUCAUGCACGAAAGCGUGGGGAGCAAACAGGAUUAUAUACCCUGGUAGUCCACGCCCUAAACGAUGAUGACUAGUUGUUGGAGGAGU